rnacentral:rRNA from 1 species
GAUGAACGCUGGCGGCGUGCUUAACACAUGCCAGUCGAACGGAAAGGCUCCUGCUUGCAGGGGCACUCGAGUGGCGAACGGGUGAGUAACACGUGGGUGAUCUGCCCUGCACUUCGGGAUAAGCCUGGGAAACUGGGUCUAAUACCGGAUAGGACCAUCGUUUAGUGUCGGUGGUGGAAAGUUUUUUCGGUGUGGGAUGAGCUCGCGGCCUAUCAGCUUGUUGGUGGGGUAAUGGCCUACCAAGGCGUCGACGGGUAGCCGGCCUGAGAGGGUGUACGGCCACAUUGGGACUGAGAUACGGCCCAGACUCCUACGGGAGGCAGCAGUGGGGAAUAUUGCACAAUGGGCGCAAGCCUGAUGCAGCGACGCCGCGUGGGGGAUGACGGCCUUCGGGUUGUAAACUCCUUUCGCCAGGGACGAAGCGAAAGUGACGGUACCUGGAUAAGAAGCACCGGCUAACUACGUG